AUUUUUCCUCAUUCUCUCGUCUCCGCUAGCAACCCAACCCGGUUCUUGCCCAAAUCCAAUCCAUCAUAUUUGAUUCUACUUAUCUCUCAACAAUCACACAUUCAUGUGAUUUGGAAUUGCCGAUCUGUAAGAUGAACGGACAUUACGAAGUAUGGCCACGAAGACUUUGAAUCUUUUCAUUCUGCUUCUCAUAUUCUCACUAUUGGCACUCUGAGCCCUCGACUAGACGACGUCGAUGCUGCCUUUAGUCUUUCUUCCAUUGACACCAUCAGCGGCCAGUAGCGCAAGCAGCUGUGAUUCAUUUUUGGAAGCAGAAAGCAAGUGAACUAGAACUACUGAACCGUGAACAAGUGAAGCCGGAAGCCCUCUCGUUGAACUUUUCUUUUUAGUUAUUUUGAUUUGAUUCGAGCCUAGAAUCAAGAUGAGUCACUUUUGUGAUUCUUAUGAAAUUCAUUUGUUGAUUUGCAGGUAGAAGAACUCAGUCUCACAAGCUGCUGGAGCGAUAGAGCCUCAAGCCUGGAGUUAAUACCUCAUUGGAUACUGCCCCUGUCCCCCAAGCCUGGAGUUUGUGAUCACUUUGAUUUAUCUAUAAUUGAUUUUAAAACCCUUCUAGAUUAAGUGCUUAUUUAUUUAUGACUUUUAAGUUUUAAGCCAUUUGUUUGGUGAUUAGGUGUUAAUGAAUUAAUUUAUAAGUUCUCCCUUUUCUUUUUCAUCUAUUUGAUUUUAUUAUUUCUG
rnacentral:lncRNA from 1 species